GCGCAGCUGGUGCAUCACCAGAGGGUUCUCCAUGGCCCCAGGAGUCUUGGUCUCAUUGGGGAUGAUGCAGCGUACAAAGUGAGGAUGGUUUCAAGCGCACUGAAGAACAAAGUGGAAAAGUCCAUCCGGCAUGCUUGUGACUUUGUCUCCAUCUCGGCUGGAUAUGGUUCCUUUCACAAACUCUUCCACCGGAUCGGGAACAUAGCAUUCCUUCUUUAUAUCGAAGGGACGUGUGGAGGCCUCCAUACGCUCUUUGUCCGACUUCCUCAGUGAGGACUGAUCGUGGACAGAAACCAGAUUCCAUUUAUUGCCUGUGAGGUGAAGAAAAGAAGGGCAGAGAGUAAAAAGAAAGGAUCCAAGGCUGCUGAGGUGGGACUGGGUGACUGGUUGGAGCAUGGAGGAUGUCAAAACGACUUGGCUGAGAUGGGUCGUGGUGGGCUGGAGGCUAUCCCUGAUGUCAUCAGGGGAAAGGCGGGGUUUACCUUGAACAGUAAAAAUGAACACGAGGCCUCCAGCAAGCCCAUCCUGUUUGGCUCUUUGUUUUGGAACAUUUUCAGCAGAGGAAAAGGGCAGAGCUGAUCAAGCAGACAGCUGUUUGUGUUGUCAGUCAAUGUUUUAUGGAGGAUUAGAGGUGAGAUUCUACAGCUGACAGCUUUUCUGGCUGCCUGGACAGCACACAGAUACCAGGCCCUUUGAUGGAUUUGAUCUGCACUGGGAGGAACAGCACAUGGGAGGUGUGAGUAUGUGGUGCAUCAGCCUGC